UUUUUUUUUUUUUUUUUUUAUUUAUUUAUUAUAUGUAAGUACACUGUAGCUGUCUUCAGACGCACCAGAAGAGGGCAUCAGAUCUCAUUACGGGUGGUUGUGAGCCACCAUGUGGUUGCUGGGAUUUGAACUUCGGACCUUCGGAAGAGCAGUCGGGUGCUCUUACCAACUGAGCCAUCUCACCAGCCCCCCACCUUUCUCUAUCUUAGGAAAAUAUUUAAGCAUCCAAGUGAUGGUUCAGUUCAGUGAUUGCAUAGAAGUGUGAGGCUUGAGUGGGAUACUCAGCAACACACACAAAUUUCAGGUGUCCACAGCAAAAACACUAGUUAAUAAGCCCCAGCAGUUAUUUUGCCAUACUUUGUUGUUCUUGUUUAAAGCCCUUUAUAUUUUCAAGCAAAUCUGUCCUUGGCAUCAUUUGUUUCAGGCAAAAGUACUUAGCUCUUACUUAGCAUUUGCCACUGUCAUUAACAAAAUUUGGCAGUGAGUCUGCAGUGUCUGUUGCCAGAUCCACAGUCCCCCAGUUGUCAGAAGAACCCCAAUCAGAUCAGGUCCAUAGAAGGUCUGCUUUUCACAUGAGCUCCCCGCACAACCCAGCUGACCCCAGACCUACAAGUCCUCCCAUCUAUCUCUGCCUCCCAAGUGCUGGCUCAGCUUAUCAUCUUGUGCCUUCUGAUAAAGACAGCUUGCAGAAUACUUUCUGACACUCACUUCUACUGCCUGCCUAGCUUAGAGCAGGGUCUGAAGGUGUCGCUGUCAGGGGACUUCAGUGAUAUUUCUUUCACAAAGGAGCUGAGGUGCUUAGUGUCUGGCCCACAAUCAGUUGCUCCUAAACUAGUGUGAGGCCCUGAUGCCUUAGAGUUCAUGACUACACAGCAAGUAGUUUUAACAGAAAUAGGCUAAAAGAGAGCCAUGCAUGGUGGCCUACUUGCAGAAUACUGUCCUUAGCGAGGCAUGGUAGUGUAAGCCCAGCAUGUAUUCUGAAUGCAGUUCCAGCAUUCAGAAGGUAAAGGCAACAGGAUGAGAAGUUGUUUGGUGAGCACUGUUAGUCUCAGCAUCUGGGCAGCAGAAGCCAGAGGAUCUCAGUGAGUUCUAGAACAGAUAGUCUGCAAAGUAAGAUUCAGUUAGGACUACUUAGAGAGACUGUGUCUCAACAAGAAUCAAUGAGUUGUCAUGUGAACAGCUACUCGCCCUAGAAAGUACCAUCUUGGGAACAAAUGAAUUUAUUGGGCAUGCUUAUAGAGGAUGGAUAAAUCCCAAAACAGCCAUCCCACCAAAAGUCUCACCUUAGAAGCUAUUUCUUGUACCUGCAUAGAUGAAGUCCAACCCUUCAGUUAGAGCCAUCUUACACACACACACACACACACACACACACACACAUAUAUACACACAUGCACACAAGCAGCAGACUAGCCUCAAAUUCACAGAAGGCAUGUGCCACCACAUCUCUUACACCUCUAAGACUUUGCAACUAUUUCACAUAGAGACUAGAAGAAAGUGGAGGAAGGAGUGGCUGGAAUCUCAGGUUAGCAUCCUUUGUGGGUGUUCACAGCCACUCAGAUGGAAAUAGUGAAGGUUAUUCUGUUGUUAUGCUCAAAGGACAGCAUUCUUUGUGGGGUGGGAGGUGAGACAAUUGUCUCUCUGUGCUGCCCUGACUUUCCUGGAACUCUAUGUACACUCACCUGCCUCUGCCUCCCUGGUGCUGGGCUUAUACCACCAUGCCUCGCUAAGGACAGUAUUCUAUAACAGAACUUCAACUCUUCCAUAUUAUAUUUAGUGAGUGGAAGACCAGCAUGGACAGGAAAGAUUCUUCUCUG
rnacentral:lncRNA from 1 species